AUUCUUAUUCAGCUGAGCUUUCAGUGCUGCCCCAAACAUUGUGUCUCUCUCCAACAUUGUUGUGUCGUCACUUCGCCUGUAUUUUUCCAAUCAUAUUACUAAUAUUUUUAAUCAUUAAGCCCUAAAACCCUCCUUUGUGUCGCCCAAAAUCAGCCUCUUCUUGAUGUCAUUAAACCUCCAUUGUCGCCCUUCUCCUCCACUCGUGGUAGUGCCUGCUUGUUCCAUUUUCCAUCUCAUUUCUUUUUCUUCUAUUGUCAAUUAUUGUUGAUGUUUUUACAGCCAAUUUAUUACUGUUUUCAUCCUCUAAAAGUCAUCCCCAUUGCUGCCAAAAAUCCUUCCUUAUGCCGAUCCUAAAUCAAUCCCUUUGUUGCCGCAGUUGGAAGCGUUGCUACCCUUAGAGCACCAUUGUUUUGGCUGUUGUUUUUCUUUCCAUUUGUUGCACAUCCUUGCUGUCAUUUUUGUCACUUUUUCCCUGUUUAAACAGCCCAUCACCUUGUUGUUUUAGUGCGCAUUCGAUUUCAUUUAAAUCAUCGUCAUAGAUCUAGUCUUCGGGAAGCGUAAGUGUUAUUUUUCUGUUAAAUCUUGUGUCAUUUUUCUCCUCUAUUAUGUUAUAUUUUGGCUGAUUUUCAUUAGCAUCAUAUGAUUUUUGAUGAUUUUUAUGUUGAAGGAUCAAAUCUAAACUCCUCUGGUCAGCAAUGACGACAAACCUAAUUCACAUUUUCGUUUAGUAGCGAAAAAGUGUAAGUUGAUCUACCGAAGUUGGAUCUAAAGUGUCGCUUAUGUAGUACUGAUUGGACGAACCCCAUAAAAGUGUUUUAGGCUGAUUUUAACCUUGAUUUUUCCAUGUGUGUGUUUAGAUUCGUUCGUUUUAAGUUGUGGGAAAUUCCGAAUUCACAACUGGCGUUGCAGACUUGCGUAAUUUAGGUAUGGGACUUAGUUAAAUGUGAAUUGUGCAUGUAAGUACUUCUUGGCUGAUUUGGCCAAAUGUUAAAAGCCCUAUUUAGGAUCGCCUGAAUGUGAAAUUGUCAUAUGUGAUUGACAGAUGGUUUGUCAUUAUUAAGGUUGAUCAUUUGUGUUUGUGAUGUGCACUGCAUUGUAUAUUAUGAAAAUUGUCAAUAUUCAUUGGAUGCAUGUAUAACAUAAGACUCUCUGUGACGCUGCUCGAAUUGAUUAUUAAGUAUGCCUUGACUGUAUUGUAUGUUGUUUGUUUGUUACAUACCAUUGAUUCCAUUGAUUGAUUGAUUAAAAGUGUGCAAGUCAUACACUGAAAUUUUUAUCGAAAGCAUGUUAAACAUGCCAUUGUUAUGCACUAUAACUGUUUCUGUCAUGCACGAUUGUGUUUCAUUCAUGGCAUAUCAUAUUGCUUUGCAUGAGAAUUGGGAUUGAUGGAUGAUAGAGGAGUUCCGUGGAGUUUUUGUAGCAUUUAAAGUUCGCAAUAUUGUUGCUAAUGCACUGCACCUGUGUAUUGUAGCAGGUAUUGGAUAUUGGUGGCUUGACCACAUCAUUUACAACAUCGUCUGUAUUUUAUUGGCAGCUUGUUUGCAUUAUUGGUGGUUUACCACAAUUUGUUAUUGACAAUUUAUCUGCAUAUCUGGUAGCUCGUCGACAUUACCGAUAGCUUGUCUGCAAACUGUUAUUAGUGGUUUAUCCACACUAAGCUAUAGCUCCUAAUUAUUUUGGUGAUUUAGUAGACGGGUUUUGAGGAACUCGUUGUGUGUAGCUGAUGGAUGGGUAAAACCUUAUUGUAUUGUCAUUCUUGAGCAUGCUUAUGCAUAACGGUUGAAGGCAUCAUGAUUCUGUGAAUUUUGUGUACUACUUUGGUAACCGCUAAUCUCUUAGCUUUUGUUCUCAAUUGUUAAAUGAGUUCCUUGCAUGAUUUGUAAGUUUUACAUACUUUGUCUUUGAUUAAAACUCACACUGGCUUUUUAAGCUCAUCCCGUUAGUUUAACAUUUUUUAGGUAGUCCGCAAGGUUAGGGCUCAAAUUUGGCAAUUUGGAGGUCUCAUCUCGAUUUUUAUUAAAUAAAUUAUUUUAUUUUUUAUUUAAU
rnacentral:lncRNA from 1 species